GAAAUUGUUAAGGGAUUUUGUGAUUUUAUGAUGUUUUUCCUUUUUGAUACAUCUUCCUUUUUAAUGUUUCAUUUACUCAGUUCUCCUUAUAAUGCUCCAUUUACUCAUUUACUCAUAUGCUCCUGUUAAGAAAGGCUUGGAAAGCACAUAGUGUUCACAUAUCUUUAUGUUUUGUCUUUGCUUCUUCUCACACACAUACACAUGAGCCCUGCAGUAAUCGCUGACUCCUGUGAAAGUCUCUUGCAGACACCCUUGGAAACAGGACCCAACUGGCUUCUGUUUUCCUCGAGAUAGACAAUACACUCACACACACACACACACACACUGUGUCCCAUACAUGCCCAGAUUGUCUGUUACAGCCUGAAAAACAGGGAAUGCUACGAUGUAUAAAUAAAGCUGACUGCAAAGCCUCGGGGUGGGUAUCACCCGAUCACUCACCCGUGCGCACGUAGUUCUCUGAACAAAACUCUGACUGUUUCUGUAUUCUUUCAAUGUUUAAAAAUGUCUUGCCACUGACAUUUAAUUGGUCCUUCGAGCCGGAUAGUUUAUUGAUAUUAUUGUAUCAUCUAACUAUUCACAGACGGAGCCACCAGAUCCUGACGUCGUGACUACCUGCACUGCAACCACCGUUUCUAGCGAAGCGAGGAAAAGCCCAGAGUCGUACAUUCGCCUACUGGCCAGUGUCUUAUACAGGUCCACGACGCCAGGUUCUCGGUGACGCCGGGAAAAAGAACACAGCGCAACAUUGAAGGCUGCUUUGCCGGCCCUGAAAGCCGAGGCUGACCUGGACUCCUGCUCUCCCCUCUACGUGACCCUGACCAAAUGCUGCAACAGCUGGACUUAUAACAACAAUUUCCUGAAAAUGUCAACAGGGCUGCAGAAAAGCGAUCUUAUGCAGCGGAGACGGAGAGCGUUAAAACCAAGGCCCGUUUCACUACACGGGGGAAAAUUCCCAGACAGCUUCAGCUGACAGAGCUGUGACGAGACGCCUGCCAAGCCGAAUGACAAGUAAGGCCGAGCAAAAGAAUGCUGACCUUAACAAUUCUGCAUUAACACGGUGCAGGACAGUGAUGGACCAACACGGCAGCAAGAAGGGCGUGCCAGAGACAGAAGGAGCAACUGAGGUCGAAUGGACAAAACACAGAAGAAGAUGCAGUUUUCACCUGCGGUGAGCAUGGACACUGGAGAAAAGGACUGUCCCAAUUGAGGUCAGAACCAGGACAGACUGAACUUUGGACAGCAGCAAUGGUGGCAAACGGACUGAAAAGGAGGAGGGCAGGACCCCAGGGCACGCUUCAGGCUGUGGUUUACCCAGAACACCAGAACAGGAAAGUGAUGAACACACACACAUCUACAUACACCGAUUCAGAAUGAAGUGAAAUAUACACAUGAACACAUGUGCACUCGUUGAUAGAGGGAGAAAUGGCACACACACACGCUUAUGCAAUGAAGAAUGCUUUGCUCGCAAAUGCUUAUGCUCAUGCAAAAUGCUGCACACAAACAUCCCAAUACAUAAUUUUUAUGAGAAGCAAUUGAUUACUUAAAAUGUGUUUUAUGUCACCCAGAGGAUAUUUAUGUAGAUUUAAGGAACAAGGUCUAAAAUUGUCCGGUUAUGAAAACAAUGUCUGUGCGUGAGGUCUGUUUAUGGCUCAAGGUCUUGAUUGAAUUGUCUAUUGUGCUACACACUUCGUAAAUGAAGUAAUAUCAAAAGUCUCUGAAGCACUGGGCUUCAGUAUAAAACAUCACUUCUCAUAUCUCAUAGACAAAUCCAUAAGAGAAACAAAACUAGCAGAAUGGAUGACAAAACUGUUAGAAAACAAAGAAAUAGUUUUGAACAAUCAACUGCCAGAUGAUUCUCUUCCAGUCUCUUCCAGGUUGAAACCAGGAGAUUGGAUCCUGAUAAAAGUGCUCCAGAGGAAAAAGUGGAGCUCCCCGAGGUGGGAAGGACCCUACCAAGUCCCCCUGGCCACACCAACAGCCUGCAAAAUUGCUGAACGACCUUCCUGGAUUCACCAGAGCCACUGUAAAAAAGUGAGUGACAGUCCACACUAAGACGCCAGCACCCCUGCCUGUCAGUGACCUGGGAGGUGGAGAGAGGGCUGUUUGGGUAAAUCCCGCCCUUGUUCUUCUCGCCCCUAGUCUACUCACUCACAGGACCAGGUGUGUUCGGUCAUCAUGAAGACCCUACUCGUUCUGGUGGCCAGUGUCACAAUUCUGUUGGGACUGCUGUCGCUGAUUUCAGAAGAAGAAGGACAAGAUUGACACAUGACACAAUACAUCCAGACGACAUGACACAAGAUCACAACCACCCAUGGAUGAACAAUGCCUGGUACCGUUAUGUGUACAACUCCACAAGAGACAGAAACUAUUACAUCUGUUCGCACAUGCCUCUUAAUGCAAAACACCUGAUAAUGUGCAUUCCACCAACAUGUCUGAUGCACUGAACACGCUACGUCAGCUCAGACGAGUACAGCAGCAAGAUUACACACACAACACCGAGGACUGGCUCACAUGGCUGCUUAGCGGGUCGUGGAAGUCAUUACUCACAAAAGGACUAACAUUCGUUGGAAUGCUCCUUAUGUUACUUUGCUUAUUUUCCACAUGUGUACUGCCUUGUAUUCGGAGUAUGAUAAGCAAAAUGUUUACUGUAAGAUUGCAAGCUUAUGUUGCAUUAUCUCAAAAUGAACAAGCUCAAGAAGAGGUACAAGUUGAAGAAGAUGAUUUUUAAGCACUAAACUGUGUAAACCCACUAAAGUUGAUCAUGUACGUUUUCACAAAAUGAUACUCUAGUUGAAAAUGCUUCUGCAAGUGACUAGUAGUUGAAGUACAUAAAUAUAUAUGAACAACAGCAGGGAAUGUUAAGGGAUUUUGUGAUUUUAUGAUGUUUUUCCUUUUU